rnacentral:rRNA from 1 species
AACCAGACUCCUACGGGAGGCAGCAGUGGGGAAUAUUGCACAAUGGGGGGAACCCUGAUGCAGCGACGCCGCGUGGGUGAAGGAGUAUUUCGGUAUGUAAAGCCCUAUCAGCAGGGAAGAACAAUGACGGUACCUGACUAAGAAGCACCGGCUAACUACGUGCCAGCAGCCGCGGUAAUACGUAGGUGGCAAGCGUUAUCCGGAUUUACUGGGUGUAAAGGGCGUGUAGGCGGGGACGCAAGUCAGAUGUGAAAACCACGGGCUCAACCUGUGGCCUGCAUUUGAAACUGUGUUUCUUGAGUACUGGAGAGGCAGACGGAAUUCCUAGUGUAGCGGUGGAAUGCGUAGAUAUCGGGAGGAACACCAGUGGCGAAGGCGGCCUACUGGGCGCUAACUGACGCUGAGGCUCGAAAGCAUGGGUAGCAAACAGGAUUAGAUACCCCUGUA